AUGCAGUCGUACGCUUCUUUUUCCACCGGAGCUUGCUCCACCGGAAAAAGAAGAGUGGCGAACGGGUGAGUAACACGUGGGUAACCUGCCCAUCAGAAGGGGAUAACACUUGGAAACAGGUGCUAAUACCGUAUAACAAUCGAAACCGCAUGGUUUUGAUUUGAAAGGCGCUUUCGGGUGUCGCUGAUGGAUGGACCCGCGGUGCAUUAGCUAGUUGGUGAGGUAACGGCUCACCAAGGCCACGAUGCAUAGCCGACCUGAGAGGGUGAUCGGCCACAUUGGGACUGAGACACGGCCCAAACUCCUACGGGAGGCAGCAGUAGGGAAUCUUCGGCAAUGGACGAAAGUCUGACCGAGCAACGCCGCGUGAGUGAAGAAGGUUUUCGGAUCGUAAAACUCUGUUGUUAGAGAAGAACAAGGAUGAGAGUAACUGUUCAUCCCUUGACGGUAUCUAACCAGAAAGCCACGGCUAACUACGUGCCAGCAGCCGCGGUAAUACGUAGGUGGCAAGCGUUGUCCGGAUUUAUUGGGCGUAAAGCGAGCGCAGGCGGUUUCUUAAGUCUGAUGUGAAAGCCCCCGGCUCAACCGGGGAGGGUCAUUGGAAACUGGGAGACUUGAGUGCAGAAGAGGAGAGUGGAAUUCCAUGUGUAGCGGUGAAAUGCGUAGAUAUAUGGAGGAACACCAGUGGCGAAGGCGGCUCUCUGGUCUGUAACUGACGCUGAGGCUCGAAAGCGUGGGGAGCAAACAGGAUUAGAUACCCUGGUAGUCCACGCCGUAAACGAUGAGUGCUAAGUGUUGGAGGGUUUCCGCCCUUCAGUGCUGCAGCUAACGCAUUAAGCAAGUCUUGGGAUUCAGUUGGGCACUCUAGCAAGACUGCCGGUUAUGACCUGGGCUACACACGUGCUAC
rnacentral:rRNA from 1 species